rnacentral:rRNA from 1 species
CCCUUAGAUGUUCUGGGCCGCACGCGCGCUACACUGAUGAAUUCAACGAGCACUAACCUGUGCCGAAAGGUUCGGGUAAUCUUGUGAAAUUUCAUCGUGAUGGGGAUUGAUUAUUGCAAUUUUUAAUCAUAAACGAGGAAUGCCUAGUAAGCGCGAGUCAUCAGCUCACGUUGAUUACGUCCCUGCUCUUUGUACACACCGCCCGUCGCUCCUACCGAUUGAAUGUGCCAGUGAAAAGUUAGGAUUGGGCGUGGGAGACGGCAACGUAUUCCACAUCCGAGAAAAUCUUUAAACUUUCCCAUUUAGAGGAAGGAGAAGUCGUAACA